GUUCUUCUACGGCCAGACCCUUUUCUUAAUGAACUUGUUUGAUGAAACACUUGUUUUUGAUGAAAAAUUGACCUGGCGGGGUGAAUGCAUCGGUUGAGUGAGUCUAUUAGUAUUUGUUGUGGAAUGUUUUUCGUCUAAUCCGCAGCAAGCUGCUACAUGUCUCUCUGAGAUUGACCAGUCUCCACCAUCAUCAAUAGUGGAAUCAAUGCAGCCUCUUCAUAAUGCAAUUGUAUAGCCAGAACUACUGAAUCAUCAAGAUCGGGAAGCCAAACUUCUAGUUGCAACCUGUAUUUGUGAGAUAACUCGGAUAAUUGCGCCUGAAGCGCCUUAUAGUGAUGAUAUUCUAAAGGAUAUUUUUAGCUUGAUUGUUGGAACUUUCAAUGGAUUGAGCGAUACUAGUGGUCCAUCAUUUGGAAGGAGAGUUGUAAUUUUGGAGACUCUUGCAAAAUAUAGAUCCUGUGUUGUGAUGUUGGAUCUUGAAUGUGA